AGCAGCCGCGGUAAUUCCAGCUCCAAUAGCGUAUAUUAAAGUUGUUGCAGUUAAAAAGCUCGUAGUUGAAUUUCGGGAUCAAUGCGUCGGUCGUGCUUUCGGGUACGUACUGGUGUCAUUGGUUUCUCCUUUCUGACGAGCCGUGAUGUCAUUAAUUUGGUGUUACGGGUAGUUAGGACUGUUACUUUGAAAAAAUUAGAGUGUUUAAAGCAGGCAUUAGCUUGAAUACAUUAGCAUGGAGUAAUGAAAUAGGACGUUCGAUCCUAUUUUGUUGGUUUCUAGGAUCAACGUAAUGAUUAAUAGGGAUAGUUGGGGGCAUUAGUAUUCAAUUGUCAGAGGUGAAAUUCUUGGAUUUAUUGAAGACUAACUACUGCGAAAGCAUUUGCCAAGGAUGUUUUCAUUAAUCAAGAACGAAAGUUAGGGGAUCGAAGACGAUCAGAUACCGUCGUAGUCUUAACCAUAAACUAUGCCGACUAGGGAUCGGAUGAUGUUAAUUUUUUAAUGACUCAUUCGGCGUCUU
rnacentral:rRNA from 1 species